rnacentral:rRNA from 1 species
AGCAGCAGCCGCGGGAAUACGAAGGGGGCUAGCGUUGCUCGGAAUGACUGGGCGUAAAGGGCGCGUAGGCGGUUUAUACAGUCAGAUGUGAAAUUCCUAGGCUCAACCUGGGGACUGCAUUUGAUACGUAUGGACUUGAGUGGAGAAGAGGGUUGUGGAAUUUCCAGUGUAGAGGUGAAAUUCGUAGAUAUUGGGAAGAAUACCAGUGGCGAAGGCGGCUCACUGGACCGACACUGACGCUGAGGCGCGAAAGCGUGGGGAGCAAACAUGAUUAGAUACCCGCGUAGUCCCUGUCUCUUAUAC